rnacentral:rRNA from 1 species
GNNNAUCUUGCGCAUGGGCGAAGCCUGNCGCAGCAACGCCGCGUGGGGGAUGAAGCCCUUCGGGGUGUAAACUCCUUUCGACCCGGACGAAUGCCCGCAAGGGCUUGACGGUACGGGUAUAAGAAGCCCCGGCUAACUACGUGCCAGCAGCCGCGGUAAAACGUAGGGGGCCAGCGUUGCUCGGAAUUACNUGGGCGUAAAGGGUCCGUAGGCGGUGUGACAAGUCGGUAGUGAAAUCUCCGGGCUUAACUCGGAGGCUGCUGCCGAAACUGUUGUGCUAGAGUGCGAGAGAGGCGAGUGGAAUUGCGGGUGUAGCGGUGAAAUGCGUAGAUAUCCGCAGGAACAUCCGAGGCGAAAGCGGCUCGCUGGAUCGCAACUGACGCUGAGGGACGAAAGCUAGGGGAGCAAACAGGAUUAGAUACCCUGGUAGUCCUAGCCCUAAACCAUCAGGACUUGGGGUUUGCCCUGUACGGGGCAAGUCCCGGAGCUAACGCGAUAAGCAAUCCGCCUGGGGAGUACGGUCGCAAGACUGAAACUCAAAGAAAUUGACGGA